rnacentral:lncRNA from 1 species
UGAAGACCUUGUAUGGAGGAAAAUGAGAUCCUGAGUGAAGUCUACAAUGUCAUUGACUCUAAAGAAGGACUCAGAGACCCAUUGGUGUUUAAUGACCCUUACUGGCCCAUGCAAUGGGUACUUGUAUGAUCUUCAAAAAUAGAUGGUUCUUUGGCAAUGUUAAGAAAUAUUAUUUUUGUCAAAUUUUAAUGCAGUAGACAGACACUUUUAUGCACUGGCUGCUUUUAUCUAUUGAUACUGGAGAGAGAGAAGUUAGCAAAGCUUGAUGGAGUAUUAUUGUUAGCUUAUUAAUGAGAAAUAAUAUUUUUUAAUUUGAUUACAACCUUAGGGCUUAGUUUAAUUGAGAAAAGGUAUCAGCUAAAAAUAAAAAAUAAAUAAAAUGUUUAAUUGGUUCAUGAAAAUAGCCUCAUUACACAAAAAUGCUGUUG